AUUGAACGCUGGCGGCAUGCUUUACACAUGCAAGUCGAACGGCAGCGCGGGCUUCGGCCUGGCGGCGAGUGGCGAACGGGUGAGUAAUGCAUCGGAACGUGCCCAGUAGUGGGGGAUAGCCCGGCGAAAGCCGGAUUAAUACCGCAUACGACCUGAGGGUGAAAGCGGGGGACCGAAAGGCCUCGCGCUAUUGGAGCGGCCGAUGUCGGAUUAGCUAGUUGGUGGGGUAAAGGCUUACCAAGGCGACGAUCCGUAGCUGGUCUGAGAGGACGACCAGCCACACUGGGACUGAGACACGGCCCAGACUCCUACGGGAGGCAGCAGUGGGGAGUUUUGGACAAUGGGGGCAACCCUGAUCCAGCCAUGCCGCGUGCGGGAAGAAGGCCUUCGGGUUGUAAACCGCUUUUGUUCGGGAAGAAAUCCUCUGGGCUAAUACCCCGGGGGGAUGACGGUACCGGAAGAAUAAGCACCGGCUAACUACGUG
rnacentral:rRNA from 1 species